rnacentral:lncRNA from 1 species
UGUCGUUUUAAGUGUUAAAAGUUUAACGUUGAAUAUACAAUGCAUCUUUCCAUUCGGUUGUACAAUAUUCUGUUCACAGUUUUGUCUUUUUUAUAGGUUCAUGAUUUUUAUUUUAUAUUCCGUUCUGAUUUUUCAGUAAGUCUUCAGUUGUUGCGCGCCCUGUAACACCAUAACUAAUUUUCUACAUUUGAACAUGCCUGUACCAAGUCAGGAAUAUGACAGUUCUUGUCCAUUCGUUUUUGAUGCGUUUUGUUAUUUGAUUUUGCCAUGUGAUUAUGGACUUUCCUAAUUGAUUUUCCUCUAAGUUCAGUAUUUUUGUGAUCUUACUUUUUAUAAUCAAAACACAUUUCAGCUCGAUUGAAAAAAAGUCAUAGAAAGGUUUUCA